GACGAACGCUGGCGGCGUGCCUAAUACAUGCAAGUUGAGCGAUGAAGAUUGGUGCUUGCACCAAUUUGAAGAGCAGCGAACGGGUGAGUAACGCGUGGGGAAUCUGCCUUUGAGCGGGGGACAACAUUUGGAAACGAAUGCUAAUACCGCAUAACAACUUUAAACAUAAGUUUUUAGUUUGAAAGAUGCAAUUGCAUCACUCAAAGAUGAUCCCGCGUUGUAUUAGCUAGUUGGUGAGGUAAAGGCUCACCAAGGCGAUGAUACAUAGCCGACCUGAGAGGGUGGUCGGCCACAUUGGGACUGGGACACGGCCCAAACUCCUACGGGAGGCAGCAGUAGGGAAUCUUCGGCAAUGGACGAAAGGCUGAACGGGCAACGCCGCGGGAGUGAAGAAGGGUUUCGGAUCGUAAAACUCUGUUGGUAGAGAAGAACGUUGGUGAGAGUGGAAAGCUCAUCAAGUGACGGUAACUACCCAGAAAGGGACGGCUAACUACGUG
rnacentral:rRNA from 1 species